GACGAACGCUGGCGGCGUGCUUAACACAUGCAAGUCGAACGGAAAGGCCCUGCUUUUGUGUGGUUCUCGAGUGGCUAACGGGUGAGUAACACGUGUGUAACCUACCCUUGACUUUGGGAUGACUUCAGGAAACUGGGGCUAAUACCGGCUAGUAGCUCCUCCUGCCUGGUGGGGGUUGGAAUGUUUCGGCGGUUGGGGAUGGACUCGCGGCUUAUCAGCUUGUUGGUGGGGUAGUGGCGUACCAAGGCUUUGAAGGGUAGCCGGCCUGAGAGGGGGACCGGCCACAUGGGGACUGAGAGACGGCCCAGACUGCUACGGGAGGCAGCAGGGGGGAAUAUGGCACAAUGGGCGGAAGCGUGAUGCAGAAACGCCGCGUGCGGGAUGACGGCCUUCGGGUUGUAAACCGCUUUCGCCUGUGACGAAGCGUGAGUGACGGUAAUGGGUAAAGAAGCACCGGCUAACUACGUG
rnacentral:rRNA from 1 species